UACGGGGGGGGCAAGCGUUGUUCGGAAUUACUGGGCGUAAAGGGCUCGUAGGCGGCCAACUAAGUCAGACGUGAAAUCCCUCAGCUUAACUGGGGAACUGCGUCUGAUACUGGAUGGCUUGGAUUCGGGAGAGGGAUGCGGAAUUCCAGGUGUAGCGGUGAAAUGCGUAGAUAUCUGGAGGAACACCGGUGGCGAAGGCGGCAUCCUGGACCGAUAUUGACGCUGAGGAGCGAAAGCUAGGGGAGCAAACGGG
rnacentral:rRNA from 1 species